rnacentral:piRNA from 1 species
UNGAGGUUGACCCUGCCUGAUGCUCUGUCC